ensembl:lncRNA
GCCUCAGUCAUCUAUCCACUAUGCACACAAUUUUUGGAAAGGUGUGGAAGAGGAGGUAUGAUGGAGAGAGGGAACGGUGUGGAAGAGGAGGUAUGAUGGAGAGAGGGAACGGUGUGGAAGAGGAGGUAUGAUGGAGAGAGAGAACGGUGUGGAUGAGGAGGUAUGAUGGAGAGAGAGAACGGUGUGGAUGAGGAGGUGUGAUGGAGAGUAAUAUAAUAAUAUUGGGACGCAAACUCAAAAUGAAUAAUACAUCUCAACUCUAUAUCUGACAUGGUACAGGUGUCUUUU